GUAUUGUCUAAUAUUUUUUCUCUUUCUGUUCCAUUUUAGACAAACAGCCCUUCACAUUCAGGGCUUUCCCCAACACCAGAUCCACCACCCCAGUGUAGAGAGGUGGUGCGGGGUGAGGCGGGCCUCUCUCACCCUCUCUCACCCUCCUAUUCACCCCCACCUCCCCACGGCACGAUGACGCCAAGCAGACAGACCUCAGUCUCUGGCGUAGGGGGCUCCACCACAUACGCCCACAUAGACAUCACAGCCUCAGAGACAGCUCAGAGAGUAGCAGCAGAACAUGCCCAGGGGAGAGAGGACAGGCUGAUGGAGCUGGAGGAGAACAUGCCCAGGGGAGAGAGGACAGGCUGAUGGAGCUGGAGGAGAACAUGCCCAGGGGAGACAGGACAGAAAGGAGAGGCACCCUGCAGUCUCUCUCUCUCUGUCUCUCUCUCGGUCUCUCACUUACUCACUCACUCACACACACACACCUGAAAUGAUUUGAGUGUUUUCUUGUAAAUAGUAACUGCUUUGUUUGCCAAGAGAUUAUUUAAUAACUUGUUUUAUAUUUAGCCACCCUCUGCCUUGAUGACAGCUUUGCAAACUCUUGGCAUUCUCUCAACCAGCUUCACCUGGAAUGCUUUGCCAACAGUCGUGAAGGAGUUCCCACAUA